rnacentral:rRNA from 1 species
UACGUAGGGGGCAAGCGUUGUCCGGAUUUAUUGGGCGUAAAGAGCGUGUAGGCGGCUAGGUAGGUCCGUUGUGAAAACUCGAGGCUCAACCUCGAGACGCCGGUGGAAACCAUCUAGCUAGAGUCCGGAAGAGGAGAAUGGAAUUCCUGGUGUAGCGGUGAAAUGCGCAGAUAUCAGGAAGAACACCCGUGGCGAAGGCGGUUCUCUGGGACGGUACUGACGCUGAGACGCGAAAGCGUGGGGAGCGAACAGG